CUUCUGUAUUAUAAUUUGUCUUCGUGCCCUGGUUCUGUUUCUCCAAUAGAAAUGGAAGAAAAAUCGUUCUUGGGCUGUAUGUGUGGCAAAUGAGGAUUUUAUUGGAGAGAAAAUAUUUUUGGCGCUUUUGAAUUUCGCAGUUUAAUGGGUACCCCGAUGUAUUGCAACGAAUUAAGUGAAUUUUGAACACACUUUUAUGACUUUAGCUAAGAAAACGAAUUUUGUGUCGCGGUAAAGCUAAAAGUCGUUAGUCCAGAGAGCAGAGACUCGACCGGGCGCGAAAUUUUGGUUGAAGUUUCUCGUCCAUUGUCGACACCCAUUACGCUCAGAUAUCCCGGGAUUCACAUCAGGAAUACGCAAAAAAACUCACGGAAAUUCCGGCUGUUGUGAGAGCGAGAGAACAGACGCGAUUGAAUGCCGCGCGAUUACAGAGGGUCAGGGACAUCGCGCCUCGUCAUUGAGGAUAAACUUGGGAACGCCAUUUUAUUAUUUCACUUAAAUAUCGUGCGACCUCGGGGUCACGGGAGAAAAAACGAGGUUUUUUACUAGAAUAUCCACGCACGCAUGCCACGUUCCGGUGUUAAGUCACAGACUGAGCUUCUUACAAUAUUUUUUUUCACAGUCGCGAUACAUACGAAAUAUGGUGAGCCGAGAUCGUUCUUUUCACCUACGAAAGUCUCGAGGUUUUAGGCACAAAAAGUUUUUUUACGCACACGAAUUUCAUUUGGGAAUCUAUGCGAAGCAUGAGCACGUAAAAUUUUGUAACCGAAUUUCACUGAAUAGAAAUCAUUUUGAAAGAAACUACAAAACUUGGACAAUCUCGAUCAUGUGGGAAUACCAAAAAUUCGAAGCAAUAUUUUGAAAACGAGAAUAAUUGGAAUUUAUUCUAGCCUCUCCUUAAAAUGUCGGAGAAAAUCAUGCCGCCGUCGACGACGAGACCUUAAACGAAUUCUCGAACGAGAAAGGGUGUGGAAAAACCAUAAUAGGACGCUCCUUCAAAAAGAACCCUCUUAAAAUAUUGACCACAAGCUUCAACCAGACGAGGGGCAAAAAAAAAGAACGAAAAAUGCGUCAAUGCUUCGCUGGAGAUUAUUUAUAAGACGGAAAUUGUACCAUUUCAAAUUUCAGAGUACAGUCAAUGGUAGAUGAAUAAAAAUACAAUAAACAAUA